rnacentral:tRNA from 1 species
GCCGAGGUGGCGAAAUUGGCAGACGCACUGGAUUCAGGGUCCAGCGGGGGCAACCCUGUAGGGGUUCAAAUCCCCUCCUCGGCA